rnacentral:tRNA from 1 species
GUGACUGAUGGUCGAGAGGCAAGGACACUUGACUCUCAUCCAAAAGUCCCGGGUUAGAAUCCCGGCCGUAGCACU